rnacentral:rRNA from 1 species
GACGAACGCUGGCGGCGUGCUUAACACAUGCAAGUCGAACGCUGAAGCUCAGCUUUUGUUGGGUGGAUGAGUGGCGAACGGGUGAGUAACACGUGAGUAACCUGCCUCCUUCUUUGGGAUAACGCCCGGAAACGGGUGCUAAUACUGGAUAUUCACUGGUCUUCGCAUGGGGGUUGGUGGAAAGGGUUUUUCUGGUGGGGGAUGGGCUCGCGGCCUAUCAGCUUGUUGGUGGGGUGAUGGCCUACCAAGGCUUUGACGGGUAGCCGGCCUGAGAGGGUGACCGGUCACAUUGGGACUGAGAUACGGCCCAGACUCCUACGGGAGGCAGCAGUGGGGAAUAUUGCACAAUGGGCGCAAGCCUGAUGCAGCGACGCCGCGUGAGGGAUGGAGGCCUUCGGGUUGUGAACCUCUUUCGCUCAUGGUCAAGCCGCAACAAUGGUUGUGGUGAGGGUAGUGGGGAAAGAAGCGCCGGCUAACUACGU